rnacentral:rRNA from 1 species
AACGAACGCUGGCGGCAGGCUUAACACAUGCAAGUCGAGCGCCCCGCAAGGGGAGCGGCAGACGGGUGAGUAACGCGUGGGAACGUACCUUUUGGUUCGGAACAACUCCGGGAAACUGGAGCUAAUACCGGAUACGCCCUAACGGGGAAAGAUUUAUCGCCGAAAGCUCGGCCCGCGUCUGAUUAGCUAGUUGGUGAGGUAACGGCUCACCAAGGCGACGAUCAGUAGCUGGUCUGAGAGGAUGAUCAGCCACACUGGGACUGAGACACGGCCCAGACUCCUACGGGAGGCAGCAGUGGGGAAUAUUGGACAAUGGGCGCAAGCCUGAUCCAGCCAUGCCGCGUGAGUGAUGAAGGCCUUAGGGUUGUAAAGCUCUUUUGUCCGGGAAGAUAAUGACUGUACCGGAAGAAUAAGCCCCGGCUAACUUCGUG